rnacentral:rRNA from 1 species
AUUGAACGCUGGCGGCAGGCCUAACACAUGCAAGUCGAGCGGCAGCGGGGGAAAGCUUGCUUUCCCGCCGGCGAGCGGCGGACGGGUGAGUAAUGCUUAGGAAUCUGCCUAUUAGUGGGGGACAACAUUCCGAAAGGAAUGCUAAUACCGCAUACGCCCUACGGGGGAAAGCAGGGGAUCUUCGGACCUUGCGCUACUAGAUGAGCCUAAGUCGGAUUAGCUAGUUGGUGGGGUAAAGGCCUACCAAGGCGACGAUCUGUAGCGGGUCUGAGAGGAUGAUCCGCCACACUGGGACUGGGACACGGCCCAGACUCCUACGGGAGGCAGCAGUGGGGAAUAUUGGACAAUGGGCGGAAGCCUGAUCCAGCCAUGCCGCGUGUGUGAAGAAGGCCUUUUGGUUGUAAAGCACUUUAAGCGAGGAGGAGGCUCUUAAGGUUAAUACCCUUGAUGAGUGGACGUUACUCGCAGAAUAAGCACCGGCUAACUCUGUGCCAGCAGCCGCCGUAACAC